GUAAGAAGCUUGCUUCCCAACUACAUGGUUCUGGGUUCAGUCUCACUGCAUGCCAUUUUGGCCAGUGUCUUCUAGUGCAGCCUCAAACUGACCUAGAC